rnacentral:rRNA from 1 species
AUUGAACGCUGGCGGCAGGCCUAACACAUGCAAGUCGGACGGUAGCACAGAGAGCUUGCUCUCGGGUGACGAGUGGCGGACGGGUGAGUAAUGUCUGGGGAUCUGCCCGAUAGAGGGGGAUAACCACUGGAAACGGUGGCUAAUACCGCAUAACGUCGCAAGACCAAAGAGGGGGACCUUCGGGCCUCUCACUAUCGGAUGAACCCAGAUGGGAUUAGCUAGUAGGCGGGGUAACGGCCCACCUAGGCGACGAGCCCUAGGUGGUCUGAGAGGAUGACCAGCCACACUGGAACUGAGACACGGUCCAGACUCCUACGGGAGGCAGCAGUGGGGAAUAUUGCACAAUGGGCGCAAGCCUGAUGCAGCCAUGCCGCGUGUAUGUAGAAGGCCUUCGGGUUGUAAAGUACUUUCAGCGGGGAGGAAGGCGAUGUGGUUAAUAACCGUAUCGAUUGACGUUACCCGCAGAAGAAGCACCGGCUAACUCCGUGCCAGCAGCCGCGGUAA